CAAAACGUGCAUUUUCACACCUAUAUAAGUGUGCUCUUCACUUGAUGAAAAAGUACAUCCACAGAAAGAAAUAUCAUUUGCCUUUUCUUGACUUUCUUUCUUAAUCACUUUUUCCCUCAUUGGUAUUCUAUUCCUUGUGAAUUUUUGGGCAAUAGUUUUGUGUAAACUUCAAAAUUCCAGCCACGAGUGCACGUGUUUAGAAGUAGCUGUGGAACCUUGGGGAGCGACCGGCUAAAAGAAUUUGCAUCGGAGUCGGGCCGAAUCACUUUUAAGGAAGUGGCUUGCCACGACACAGUGUUUGUGACAACUUUCUUACUAUUACUAAUUCAGUUCUAAUAUCAAUAUUGUAGUAAUUUUUCCAAUAGUUUGAAAGCGAUUUUCGUUACAUACAAUAUUGAUAAAUGACUCUUUCUUUGAAUAAAACUUUUUCUGAUUUGUCAAAAUUUGAGCCAUUGGACGAAAAUAAUUUUAAAUGUUGGUCACAAAAACUUUUGAUUUUCUUCGAAUAAUUAGAAAUUGAUUAUGUUUUGUUUAAUAAAUCCCCUAAUGAUAAUUCUAACAUUACUAUUGGAUCUAACAAUGUUGUGAUUGAUGAAGUUGCUAAAAGAAAAUUUGAAAAAGAUAACAAAACAGUUAGAGGACAUUUGUUGAACCAUAUGACUAAUCAUUUAUUUGAUUUAUUUGUUACUUACAAAUCUGCUAAGAACAGUUUAGAAAAGAAAUAUGGUACCGAUGAUGCAGGAAAGAAAAAUAUCUUGUCGUACAAUGAAUUAAAUUUCAAAUGAUCGACAAUAAAUCAAUCAUGGAACAAGUCCAUGAAUAUGAAAAUUUAACUGUUGAUGUUCUCAAUGAGGGUAUGAAGAUGUAUGAGAUUCUUCAGGCGAAUGUUCUACUUGAAAAAUUUCCACCAUCCUGGAGUGAUUAUAGAAAUCAAUUUAAACAUAAGAAAAAGAAUUUAACUCUCCAAGAUCAAUUACAUGAGAACAGAGGAGGUAAACCGUCUUAAGUAUAAGAUGGAAGCUCUUUCUCUUAAUUCUUCUAAAGCUAACCUUGUGGAAUCUUCUGGUACUAUUACAAAAGACAGGUACGAAGGCAAACAAAAGAAUGUUCAGAAUAAGGAACAAAUGAAAAAAAAAUUUCAACAAGCCAGAGAGUAAAAUUAAAAAAUCAAAGGGGCCUUGUUUUGUCUGUGGAAAACUUGGCCAUAGGGUUGUCCGGUGUUAUCUAAGAAAAGGACAAAAUCCAAAAUAAGGAGGACAAAAUGAUGUCCAAGUUCACCUUGCUGAGGGUGAUGAAGUAAUUGUGGCAGUAGUUGUCGAGACGAACUUGGUGUCUAACAAGACUGAGUGGGUGUUGGAUACAGGGGCUUCAAGGAAUUACUGUGCCAACAAAGAGUUAUUCCAUGACUUUGAGGAAUCCACCAAUGACGAGUGUGUCUACAUGGGUAACUCCACUACUGCUGGAGUUUUGGGUGCUAUUUCAUGAAAAUCUUCAAAGAAGACUUGUAUAGCACGUUCUACCAUGAAAUCUGAAUUCAUUGCUCUUGAGUUGGCAGGGCAAGAAGUUGAGUGGCUGAGAAACCUUUUGGAAGAUAUGCCUUUAUGGGGAAGACAAGUGUCACCAGUCUCUUUACAUUGUGACUCACAGACAGCAGUUGGGAUUGGUAAAAAUAGUGUAUACAAUGGUAAAACGAGACAUAUUCACAUCAGACAUGGUGUAGUUAAACAAUUGUUGAAAUAUGGUGUUAUUUUCUUGGAAUAUGUACGAUCCAAAAAAAAAUUAGCGGAUCCUAUGACCAAGGGUUUGACAAAGAAAAUGGUCUUUGAAUCAUCGAGGGGGAUGGGGCUAAAGCCUAUGGAUUGAGGUAAUAUGGUGAAUACCCAUUUGCACUCAAACGAAGCCAUAUAGGCCUUCAAUAAACACUACAUAUCCUAUCCCUAAGGCAUGAGGUAGUGUAUUAUAAGGUUGAACUUAUUUUUGCUCUUAAUGAUCCAUAGCCUUAAGGUGAUCUAUGAGAUAGACUUGAUGGAUCACCUGCGUGAGAGUAAAAGGUUGGUCACCUUUUUAUGAAAGACUUGAGUUGUCUUUAUAGACUACUCAUGAGACCCAAGGUUUGUGUGCAUGACCAUAAAAGCACUUUAUGAGUAUCACGGAGUUUGUAUAAAAUCGAUAUAGUAUGUGUUGUGGGGUUCUCAACUUAUGUCCAUAUAGUUCAAGAAUACUUCACUUUUUGGAUAUUUGUUGUUGCCUCAUAUCGCUACGUGUCAAUUCAAAUCGAAAGAUAUUAACACUUAAGU